CCUACGGGAGGCAGCAGUGGGGAAUUUUGGACAAUGGACGAAAGUCUGAUCCAGCAAUGCCGCGUGCAGGACGAAGGCCUUCGGGUUGUAAACUGCUUUUGUACGGAACGAAACGGUCUGCUUUAAUACAGUGGGCUAAUGACGGUACCGUAAGAAUAAGCACCGGCUAACUACGUGCCAGCAGCCGCGGUAAUACGUAGGGUGCGAGCGUUAAUCGGAAUUACUGGGCGUAAAGCGUGCGCAGGCGGUUAUAUAAGUCAGAUGUGAAAUCCCCGGGCUCAACCUGGGACCUGCAUUUGAGACUGUAUAGCUAGAGUACGGUAGAGGGGGAUGGAAUUCCGCGUGUAGCAGUGAAAUGCGUAGAUAUGCGGAGGAACACCGAUGGCGAAGGCAAUCCCCUGGACCUGUACUGACGCUCAUGCACGAAAGCGUGGGGAGCAAACAGGAUUAGAUACCCCGGUAGUC
rnacentral:rRNA from 1 species